rnacentral:pre_miRNA from 1 species
AGGAUGGAAGCCGCUCAGACUAGCCAAGGAGGCUGCCUGCGGGGACCGCACGCGGUGGAGGCGGGGCCACGCAACGUCCGCAGCAGGAGGCCACAGGCAGCUCAUCCUUGGCUACCGAAGCAGAGCUUCCAUCG